GCUUUGCGCGAGGAAGCAGCGCAGCGAUCCCGUCACCGUGACCUCAUCCUCCCCCGAUCACAACACAAACCCAACUACACCAAGAGCUUGGGGAUUGGGGGAGUCAGGGGGAAAACCCUACUCCGUCUCGCCACCCCACACCCAAGGCCGGCGACUCCUUCGGCUCCAUAGCGGGUAAGAAAGGGUGCACCAAGAUCGCCGGCGGAGAUCGUCGCCUUGGUCUUGACGAGGCCAGCUGCCGUGACCCCAGGCGACCGGAACGUGAGGAGCCGGACCAGGGACACCGAGAGAGAAGCCCGCCGUGGAGACGACUGCCAAGUUCUUCGCCUGCUCCAUAUGUCGACAUCCCCUCCCUCGGACAUGUCGGAGAUGGUCACUGUGCAAUUUCUGGAUCUGAGAAUUCAUCGCAUGCCCGCCAACGACGUCCUACAACUUCGUCGCCGUCUUCCUCCUCUGGAGUUGAACUGCGUCCAAUCCGUGGACCAAUUCAAAAGAUUCCAGGCGUUUGUAAGAAAAAAUGAGGAGAAGGAGAAAAGGGAUGAAGAAGAGGCCGAGCUCAACACUUCCCUACCGAUCUUUCUUCUACCGUUGAUUCUUGCUAACUGAUUAACUUUGCUAUGUGCGUGUGUUUAUAAUGUGACGAAUUGACACUGUUCUUGUAUCCAGUUGGCAAUUGUCACGAGUCAAACAGAUCUAGCGCGCAUAUGCGCUACAAGAGGUGAAGAACUGGAUGAGCUUGGUAUAGUGGAGGAGUACGACGACGACGACGACGACGACGACGACGACGACGGCGACGAGCACUAUGUGUAUGGAGGCUUGGAUAUGUUCGAGCCAGCCACCACCGAUGAAGAGGACGCCAACGCGCAGGUGGAUGCUGAUGAUCUUUACUACCUGGGGGUCAGUGACGACGAGAAUGAGGAAGUGGGAAGCGACGGCGGGACUGAUGACGACGGCGGUGAUGAUGCUGGAGGCGACGGCGGACGGGCUGGACCCCUCAGGUGGGACAACCUAUGGGACGACGACCCACCACAGUGAGUCAGUGACGGCGUGAUGCCCUGAUACACCGAUCGAAAUCCUAUCUUAUUUAUUGCGGAGUAGCAGAAUUGACGAACAAACCUAGAGCUUAUUUAUUUCCUUACGACUGACUUGUGCAAACAUUCAGCAUGUCUUGUGCAAGUCAUGUUUUAAAUUGCAUCUGGAUGACAAUGAGCUAUGGUUAAUGCAGCUAUAAUUUCCUCCAACUGUCACUGCUCUUUGCCUGAUGAUUUUCUAGAGACAAGA